UGGGAAACGGGUUAAUAUUCCCGUACUUCUUACAAUUGCGAUGGGGGGACGGAGAAGGCUAGGUGGGCCUGGCGACGGUUGUCCAGGUUCAAGUGCGUAGGCUUGAGAGUUAGGUAAAUCCGGCUCUUUCUAAGGCUGAGACACGACGUCGAGCACCUACGGGUGUGAAGUCAUUGAUGCCAUGCUUCCAGGAAAAGCCUCUAAGCUUCAGAUUGUAAUGUCU
rnacentral:rRNA from 1 species